rnacentral:rRNA from 1 species
AACGAACGCUGGCGGCAUGCCUAACACAUGCAAGUCGAACGAGACCUUCGGGUCUAGUGGCGCACGGGUGCGUAACGCGUGGGAAUCUGCCCUUAGGUUCGGAAUAACUUCGGGAAACUGAAGCUAAUACCGGAUGAUGACGUAAGUCCAAAGAUUUAUCGCCUAAGGAUGAGCCCCGCGUUGGAUUAGCUAGUUGGUGAGGUAAAGGCUCCGCCAAGGCGACGAUCCAUAGCUGGUCUGAGAGGAUGAUUAGCCACACUGGGACUGAGACACGGCCCAGACUCCUACGGGAGGCAGCAGUGGGGAAUAUUGGACAAUGGGCGAAAGCCUGAUCCAGCAAUGCCGCGUGAGUGAUGAAGGCCUUAGGGUUGUAAAGCUCUUUUACCCGGGAUGAUAAUGACAGUACCGGGAGAAUAAGCUCCGGCUAACUCCGUGCCAGCAG